AUAAUUAUCAACCAUACUUAAUGAUUGUUUAUUAAAUUAACACAUUAGGCACACUUAAAGAUCGCACCAAAAUCAACGCUGGCUCAUCUCAUAGUUGAGCAAUGAAUUUCUAAAAGAACGAUUGCAGUUUUUAUCAAUCGUAUUCCUCAGCUUUAUCCAGUUUCAAAG